rnacentral:tRNA from 1 species
GGGUCGGUAGCUCAGCCGGUAGAGCAGUGGACUUUUAAUCCAUUGGUCGCGAGUUCGAAUCUCGCCCGACCCACCA